UACGAAGGGGGCUAGCGUUGCUCGGAAUCACUGGGCGUAAAGCGCACGUAGGCGGAUUCCUAAGUCGGGGGUGAAAUCCUGGAGCUCAACUCCAGAACUGCCUUCGAUACUGGGAAUCUUGAGUCCGGAAGAGGUGAGUGGAACUGCGAGUGUAGAGGUGAAAUUCGUAGAUAUUCGCAAGAACACCAGUGGCGAAGGCGGACUUACUGGUCCGAUACUGACGCUGAGGCGCGAAAGCUAGGGGAGCGAAGUGGGA
rnacentral:rRNA from 1 species